GCCGCGGGCGAAGGAGGUGCCGUGGGCGCGGAGAGUGGAGGUGAUGAGGUGAAUUGACGAUUUUGUAUUUUUAUUUUGUAUUUUUAUUUUGUAUUUUUAUUUUGUAUGUUUUAUGAUUUUUGUUUUCCUUUCUUCCUGCGUGUUUUAUUAUUUUUAUUUUGUAUUUUUUACACCAGCAAGGUUCACACUUCUACGCAGUAUUCAAUUUUGGCUUAUGUCGGAUUGAAGAAGCCAAGAUGAACCCGAAAGAUAUAUGUAGUGGAGCUAUUUUGCCCUGCGGAUAGAUGAAUUGACAAUAGUGACG
rnacentral:sRNA from 1 species